AGAUGGAACCCAGGGCCCCAGAGUCACUCAGUCCCACCCUACUGGUAAGCCUCAGACAGCUCCUGGCUUUGCCAAGCUGCCAGCGGCAGCCUGUUAAAGGCACAUCCUUCUAGAGUAUACCCUAACUGGGAACCCACAGCUGAGGCCUCAGGGUAGGUGUCAAAAACAGAUGAAUAUGCAGCUUGUGGCUAAAGCUACCCCUGAAUGGUCUGUGAAGACAGAGAUAGCCCAAAGCCCUCCAGGUCUCAACACAUUCAUCCUUUGCUAAGACCUGGGCAAUGGACCAGGACUGUGUCCCCAGAAAAGGCCACAGGCUCUCAAGAGACAGCCCCUUUGCCAGACUGCAGCCAGAAAAAUCUCUACCACCCAAUCCCGGUCCAGCUGUUCUGCCCUGCUCACCCCUCACCCUAGUUCUGAGGCCAGAAGUAGGGAGGGAGGCCCUGGCUGGCUCACUUCCUCUCUCAUUGUCUUCCAGACAAUGGGCAAAGUUCCACUGAGUCAGAUCAGGGACUGACAACACCAAAGACCCAAAUUAGGAUGGGGGGGUGGGGGGGAAUGCUGUGGGGAAGGAAGCUGUCAGCAGAGCCAGUUGACUAAAGGAACCUGAAGACCAGAAAGCAAGGGGGGGCAGCAGUGAUGCGGGGCAGAAAGAACAAGGCAAACACGUCCAGACAGUCCCUGCUAACCCUUUCUGGACACUGGCCCGACACUCAAAGGAAGGAACACUUGUCAACAAGUCCCAGCUCCUGCACAUAGAGAGGCUGUGAAACCCUUACAGCACACAGGCUGUUCACAUGUCUGUCUGUGGUGGAGACAGAUACUUAGUCAGGGAGCACCACAAGUGCCCUGUCAGAUAAGAGUCUGGAGGAGGGAGGUCUCUACAAAGUGUGAGGGAAUUGGUGAGAUUAUACCUCUGGGCAACAGAAGGCUCCUAGGCCCAGCAGCAGUGUGAGACCCUUGGGGUGCCCCUCCAGCCCCUCACAGCCUACUCACACACCUUGCUCAUCCAUGACUUGCGUUUGCACAUGGCCUUCCUCCUCUUCACAGCCUCCCACAGCCGCCUCUGGCCUGCAAGGAGGGAAAGUGAACAGAGGACUGUCAGACAGCUCACACACCCUCCCCAAGGAAGCCACUGUCCACCUGACCAGCUCCCUCAGUUCCUGGGAUAGGCCCACCACUAGAUACCACUCAACCCAAUGCCACCAACUGAAUCAGUUGCCAACUAGGAGUUUCAUUCACCCAGUCUCUACAUUCUGCCUCUGGAUGAUUCUCAAACUGGCUGGAGGUGUUUCCUCAUCCAAACUGAACAGUUGUAGUGGCCAAUUACCGCACCAACUCUCCAGACAACGCAGGUUCCUGUCCUAUUGAGACCUCCUGACCUGAUUUCCUUUAAGAACAGUGAUGUGAAAGUAUAAACUAAAUAAACCCUUUCCU